CACGCCGGGCCAACACCAGCUUCCCCACACACACACACUUCAAGGCCGAGCCACGACUCUCCCCCUGGCACCGGGGGGGUGGUGACGUUUCAUCCGCCCCAGCCCUUUGCCCGGCUUAUCGCAGAGCAAACAGCCCAGGCCAGGGAGACGCGACUGGGAAUCCUCCGGCUCCGGGCAGCGGCCCCCCCAAAUCCUCCGGCUCCGGGCAGCGGGUGCCCCGAUCUCCCCCCGGCUCCAGGCAGUGACGUCCCGCCCCUUCCCGAGCCAUGUGCACGGGGCGCUGCUCGCGGCUCGUGGGGCUGGCGCUGGUGCCCAUGGCGCUGGGCUGCAUCGUGGCCAACGUCCUGCUGAUGUUCCCCAACGGGGAGACGGGCUGGACCGAGCACCUCACCCUGCAGGUCUGGCUGAUGGGGGGCCUGGUCGGCGGGGGGCUCAUGGUGAGUGGAGCAGCACGGGGGGAGGGGACCCUGAGCCAGAACGACCUCCCGCCCCACUCCCCCCGCCGGGCCUCAGCUUCGUGUGUCUGUCCUCCUGUCCCACCCAGCUCCCGCCCAUCUCAGGGCUUUCUGUCUGUCCAGGCCGCUGGGUCCCCCCGUCUGUCCAACUGGCUAUCCCUGCGCACACCUGGCCACGUGUCCCUCCGCACCUUGUCCCGCCAUCUGUGUGCGCCUCUGUCCCGCAUCCCCCUGUCUGUCUGUCCCUCUGUUCCGCGUCCCCCCAUCUGUCCCUCUGUUCCACAUCCCCCUGUCUGUCCGUCCCUCCGAGCCACGUCCCCCCAUCUGUGUGCGCCUCUGUCCUGUGUCUCCCCAUCUGUCCUGCAUCCCCCUCAUCUGUCCCUCUGUUCCGCAUCUCCCCGUCUGUCUGUCCCUCCGAGCCACAUUCCCCCCCAUCUGUCCCGCAUCUCCCCAUCCCUCUGCGCCCUGUCCCUCCGUCUGUCCCAUGUCCCCCCAUCUGCCCGUCCCUCCGCGCCUUGUCCCCAUCUGUCCCUCUGUCCCGCAUCUCCCCAUCUGUCUGUCCCUCCGAGGCGCAUCCCUUCAUCUGUCCCAUGUCUCCCGCAUCUGCCCGUCCCUCCGUGCCUUGUCCCCCCGUCUGUGUGCGCCUCUGUCCCGCAUCUCCCCAUUUGUCUGUCCCUCCACACCUUGUCCCUCCAUCUGUCCCAUGUCCCCCCAUCUGCCCUUCCCUCUGCGCCUUGUCCCUCCGUCUGUCCUGCAUCCCCCCGUCUGUCUGUCCCUCUGCGCCGUGUCCCCGUGUCUGUCCCAUGUCCCCCCAUCUGCCCGUCCCUCCGAGCCACGUCCCCACCAUCUGUCUGCCCCUCCGAGCUGCGUCCCCCAUCUGUCUGUCCCUCCCCGCAUGUCAUGUUCCCACCUCUUUGUCUGCCUGGCCCUCCAUCCGUGCGCACGUCCCCCCUGCCGACCCGGUCUCUCUGCCCCCCUCCCCCGGGUGCUGCCAGCAUGUGGGGCGUGGGGGGAAAGGGGAGAUGCGGUGAUCGCCGGGGGUUGCUCCAGGGUACGCGUUGUUCGGCAGCCCUGUGUGCGACAGGGACGUGCGACCCGUGGGGAGAGACACGCUCAUCGGAUUCCCUCCCGGGGAGACCCGGGGCCGAGUCGCGGAGAAGCUCCAGCGGGAGCUUCGAGGACCGAACCUUGACUCCUUCGCCCGCCCCGCAUUGGCCAAGCGACAGCCCCCAGCUGGCGGGUGAAGACAUGAGGUGCUGGGGGCGUCCGGCACGCUCUCGGAGUUGCUCCUGGGACAUUGGGUAAAGGCUGGGGCGUGGCACAGACCCUGUGAAUCGGUGACGGGGGUACGCAUUGGACGAGGACCCAAAGACAUCCCCACCCCCAGAUACCUUGCGCGGAAACUUUGCUUGGGCUGGUUUCCGCUACAGGUCUGUAUCCCACCGCUGCCACUAACAGCGUCCCGACCUGCCCCUUCCUGGGCACGGCCACCCCGGGGUCCGUAGCUCCGCCCAGCGACCUCUGUUCUCUUGAUCACUGGCCAGACACGUACCCGUCGGGCAAGUCCUUGUCACCGGUAAUGACCCCCCGGCUGAUGGGGUGUCCCGGAUCCACGGGCUCGGCACUACAGCCCGGCUUUUAAACUGCCCCUUGGAGGGACCAGGCUGGGUCGGUCCCAUUCUUCCUUCAGGGUCGGCCCAGGCAGCCUCACCGCCUCCACGGCCGAGUCUCCUGUCCCCAGCCCUCCGCAUGCUCGACCUUGUGCGUCCCACCGAGCCAGACCCCUCUGCCGGGACCCACUGGGGUCCGAUCCAGAUUGCAGCAGGCUCCUGAGACACCACCCCCCGCCCCAGGAUCUGGGCCCGGAGUGCUCGCUGCCCCAGAUUUGUGUGUGGAUGGAAGCGCCGGGGGCUAGGUCUCAAACCGGAGCCAGCGCUUGUGCCGUGUAGACAUUCCCGGAGAGCUCCCCUCUUAACCCAGCCGCCUGGCCUUAGGUCCUCCGGCUCGGGGCCUUUCCUCAUUUCCCUGCAGAGCAGUGGGGGAUGGGGGAAUCUCUUGGCGAUAAGUGGCUUGGUGGGGUUCACUGCCCCUUGUCUCUUCUGGUGCCUCUGCUCCCCCCUUGGAUGCUCAGGGCACAGCAAGGCAGAGCCCAGAGGGAAACUGAGGCACACUUAGGCCGCAUAACAAUUUCUCGCGCAUUCCCACCCUCCUCACACAUGGUCCCUUCCCCACAGGGAAUCGUAUUGAUUGGGGGUGGGGCUGUGCGUGCUGGGGAGCAUCCCGUGCCAGCGCUUCCCCCCACUGCUAGCUUCCUUUUUCGACCAUGUACACCCCGUUUGCCCUUUGCCCUGGCGCUGCCGAUAUCAGGCGGCUGAUACCGGGGCCUUAUCGGCCGAUACCGGUGACACAGCCACUCGGGAGGGGCCUGGGGAACUGCCUGACACCGGAUGGGCCCGUGGGACUGAUUGCGGGGGGCGGGGCGGGGGGUUAGGAGCUGCUGGUUUUGAUCUGUGUCCCCCCCCACCCCCAUUUCAGGUUCUCUGCCCCGGGCUCUCGGCCAUCCGCGCCGGGGGGAAGGGCUGCUGUGGAGUCGGAUGCUGCGGGAACCGGUGCCGGAUGCUGCGCUCCGUGUUCUGCUCGCUAUGGGGCGUCCUGGGGGGGUUUUACUGCCUGGUUGUGUCUGCC